rnacentral:rRNA from 1 species
UACGUAGGGCGCAAGCGUUAUCCGGAAUUAUUGGGCGUAAAGAGCUCGUAGGCGGUUUGUCGCGUCUGCUGUGAAAGUCCGGGGCUCAACUCCGGAUCUGCGGUGGGUACGGGCAGACUAGAGUGAUGUAGGGGAGACUGGAAUUCCUGGUGUAGCGGUGAAAUGCGCAGAUAUCAGGAGGAACACCGGUGGCGAAGGCGGUUCUCUGGGCAUUACCUGACGCUGAGGAGCGAAAGUGUGGGGAGCGAACAGG